rnacentral:tRNA from 1 species
GGGGAUUUAGCUCAGUGGUAGAGCAUUUGCCUAGCGAGCGCAAGGCCCUGGGUUCGGUCCCCAGCUCCG